CACCAUUUCCUGGCUCUGUGCUCCAGUGUGUUGCAGGCUGUGUGCAGUGGGGGAGGUGCCAGCGCUGAUCAAGCAGUGUAAUUUUAUACAUUACUGAAUCAGUGCAGGAGAAACCUGGAGGGACAAAGCAUCAUCUUCUCUUUGAACUGCACUGUAAAAUCCUACAGCUCUCUUAGCCUAGCCAUGCUUUGAUACAUUUUUUCUCUUCUUUUUCUGAUUUUGGUGUGAAUGAUAAAGUGAUCUGAUGAUGGCUCUCGUUAUGGAACCUAUUAGCAAGUGGACGCCCAAGCAAGUAGUGGAUUGGAUGAAAGGCCUCGACGACUGCCUCCAACAAUACAUUAAAAACUUUGAAAGAGAAAAGAUCAAUGGUGAGCAGCUGCUGCACAUCACUCAUCAGGAGCUUGAGGAACUGGGAGUCACUCGGAUUGGCCACCAAGAGCUGAUUCUGGAAGCGGUUGAUCUGCUCUGUGCAUUGAAUUAUGGUUUGGAGACUGAAAACCUGAGAACUCUGUCUCACAAGCUGAAUGCCUCAGCCAAAAACCUUCAGAACUUUAUAACGGGUAGAAGGAGGAGUGGCCACUAUGAUGGCAGGGCCUCCAGACGACUGCCAAAUGAUUUUCUUACCUCUGUAGUUGACCUGAUUGGUGCUGCCAAGAACUUACUAGCCUGGCUGGACAGGUCUCCAUUUGUCAGUGUGACAGAAUACUCACUGCUGAAAAACAACAUUGUUCAACUGUGCCUGGAACUUACAACCAUUGUGCAACAGGAUUGUACAGUGUAUGAAACAGAAAAUAAAAUUCUUCAUGUGUGUAAAACCUUGUCUGGGAUUUGUGACCACAUCAUUUCGCUCUCAUCCGAUUCUCUGGUGUCACAGUCAGCACAUCUUGAGGUAGUUCAUCUCACCAGCAUUAUGCCCAGUGAGGGUUUGGGAAUGUAUAUCAAAUCAACAUAUGAUGGGCUACAUGUAAUCACAGGAACAACUGAAAACUCUCCUGCUGACCAGUGUAAGAAGAUCCAUGCUGGUGAUGAGGUGAUCCAGGUCAACCAUCAAACUGUGGUUGGCUGGCAGUUAAAGAACCUAGUAAAUGCGUUGUGGGAAGACCCAAAUGGAGUGAUUUUAACCUUGAAAAAACGUCCUCAGAAUACCCUGGUUUCUGCUCCUGCCCUUCUGAAGAAUGUGAGAUGGAAACCUCUUGCACUUCAGCCUGUAAUUCCAACCAGUCCAACAAGCAGUUCUACAACACCAACGAGUACCAUGGGCAUAUCCUCAAAACUGGAGAACUCCACACUCCAGGAUGUUUUCAUCCUGUCUCCUAUGUCAGGACUUUAUGGCCCCAGGGAUGAAAUUGGAAUAAUGUCUUGUGAUGACAUCAGCAAAUUUGGAAAGUCUGGGAUGAAAGGCUCUGACUCUCCAAGCUAUUUUCUGGAGCAUGAAAGUGGGAAAUACUACACCCUAAUUGAGAGCGAAGGCCACCCUGUGGGCUCUGAGUAUGAGAGAAGCAGAGCUACAGGAGUGCGGAGGAGAGAAAAAACACCCACUCAUGGAGAUUUAAGGCCUGUUUCUAUGCCUACUGAGUACAGUUGGAUAGGGGAGUCAAAAGAACAAAACAUGUACAAGAGGGGAAGCAGAGACUCUGAGAAUUCACUCCUGCGGUAUCUGAGUGAUGACAAGAUACUGGUUAUCCAAGAAGAGCCUUUGACACAAAAAGACAACAAAAGGGACACAGGUCGUAGAUCAAGAAAAAAGGGCAAACCCACAAGCAGUACAAAUUACCCUAUUAGUCCAUCUGUAUUGGCAUCUACUAUUAAUAUUAGGCUUGAACCUGGACAGCAAGAUGUCUUGAAUUUCUCACUGGCAGAAAACAAUACAGUUCCACUUUAUCAUAGAGCAGGAGACACAAUCAGCGGAGAUACUGAAAGAUAUGCAAGUUCUGCCAUUGACCAUCAAGGAAGCACAUCCAUGAGGAAGUCAUUCCACUACGCUUCCCUCAGGGUAAAAAGCAGAAAAUGGUCAAAAGGGAGCUCUCUAACGAGUGGGAGCAGAAGACGGAUUUCCUGCAAAGACUUGGGGCAUGGAGAUUGUGAAGGCUGGCUAUGGAAGAAAAAGGAUGCCAAAGGUUAUUUCACUCAGAAAUGGAAAAAGUACUGGUUUAUUCUGAAGGAUUCAGCCUUGUACUGGUACACAAACCAAAAUGAUGAAAAAGCAGAAGGAUUCAUUAGCUUACCCGAGUUCAGGAUAGAUAGAGCAAUUGAAUGCAGACGAAAACAUGCCUUCAAAGCAUGCCACCCCAAAAUAAAGAGCUUCUACUUUGCAACAGACUGCCUUGAAGAAAUGAAUAGAUGGAUGAAUCGUUUGGGCCUCGCAGCAAUUGGUUACACACCUGAUGACAAGGAUAUUCAUCCAGAUGAAGCAGAUUACUGGAGUGAAAGCGACCAGGAUGACAUUGAUGGCUCUCUGACCCUGAAGCAGGAAGGCUCUUCAACACUAUGUGACAGCUACCAUCGAACACCCUCAGUGAAUUCUUCAAGUCCAUUCCCUGAAGUCAAACAAGGUCGACACUUUUCAAGUGAAUCAACAUAUUCUCAUUCUUCUGCUGAGGAUUCUCGGCAAGAUGUAGCAGGAAGCACCCACUCAUCGGGAUGCAGACCUCCCUACCGAGAGAGACGCUCGUGGCAGGAUCUGAUAGAGACUCCACUAACCAGUUCAGGGCUCCAUUUUCUUCAGACUGUUCCUCCUGAUGCAGAGUACAUGAGUGGCCAGCCUGGAAUGUCACCAGACAGACGAAGACAAGCAACGCUACCAGUCCAGAGACGGCACAAUUAUGAGCAGGAUGGGCCUUUCCCUUUGGUGGAAUGUCAAAGGGGACACAGCUCUCACAGCAGGCCACAGCAGCAGCGUAGUCAAAGCCUUCCCCGAAACAGAGACGUGAGGGGUAAGGGCCAUGUGAAGUCCAUAGAAGGAACAGAUGACAAGCUAGAAGAGAAAGUUCCUAUUAGAAGGCAUAAUAGUUUCUGUGCAGAAGAAAAUGUAAAGGAAAUAGGAGAAAAUACAGAUGGUCUGCAAGAGCUCUACAAGUCUCUGGAACAAGCCAGUUUGUCAGCUUUUGGAGAGCAGCGUCCUUCCACCAAGCAGGAGUUCCGCAAGUCUUUUGUAAAGCGAUGCAAUGAUCCAGUCAUCAAUGAAAAGCUGCACCACAUCAGAGUUCUCAAGAGCACUUUAAAAGCAAAGGAAGGGGACCUUGCUGUUAUCAACAGUCUUCUGGAUGAUCCCAACUUAACAUCAAAGAAGUUUAAAGAUUGGAAACUAAAGAACUAUGAGUUUUUCCUGGACAUUUGUGAGUACAGUGCUGCUGUGAAAUCUCAAAACGGAGCCUCUGAAAUUGCAUCCUCAGCACCAAUGCUGACACAUACACACUCCUUCAUUGAAACUCACGUGUGACAGGACUCAUACCCUGAAUAAUUGCUGGGUGCCAUGAAAGAUUGAAUAAGAUAAAUACUGUAAUAUUUAUUGAUAAUGUACUCAGCAGUACUGUAAAUAAGUUGGAUAAGAGAAUAGUGCCACAGGAUGCCUACUACAUUGCAUGAUAAGACAAUAAUAUUCUUUAUUAAUUUUUUCCAUUUGCUAUUAUCAACCAAUGUCCGUAUCAAGCUCUGCAUUAGAAAGAAGCAGUGCAGAAGUGUAACUGAAAAUAAGUACCAGUAUAUUUGAAGUACUGUACUAAAACUAAGCUUAUAAUAUGAGCUCCUACAAUCAUUUUAUAUAUUUAGAUAUAGAUCAAGACAUAUCUACGUAUAUAAAAUGUAACGCAGUAGUUUACAUUACUUUUAAAAUGCCCUGAAGUUCACAUCCUCACACAUUCUUUCUUGAGAAAAACACAAAAUGAAAACAUCAACACAUUGGCCACUCUUAGAGAUGAAUGUUUAUUUUUGCAACAUUUCCAGGUAGUGACCAUCAUUGCAAAUAAAAGGACAGAGUUAUCAAAAUGUAAACUCAAUCCCUAUAGUGUGCCUUAAAAUGUACACUGUACAUCUAGCAAAUAGAUCCCAGUCUGGCCCUAUGGGCAUACUGUACAUGCCAUUUAGGUACUGUGUUUGAAACAUACUGUGACUGCCUUUAAAGUGAAAGAAUAUAAGCAAGCAGGUAUGGCACAGAGAUUAAGAUACGAGUAGAACAAUGUUGGUUGUUCACUAAUGCUGCAACUCAAACUGAUUUUAAUAUAAUUUGAAGUAUAUCAUGGUGAAAGAAAAUACAUCUGCACUGAAUAUACUACAUACUGCAGGUUUUCAUAGUUUCUUCACUGUGAAUUUAAGUGACAUGUGACUGUGAGUCACAGAAUUCUAAAGAGCAUGCUUCAAGGAUGAGAAUUAAGUUUAAGAAACUCCUGAACUAAUCAAUUAAACUGUAAUAGACUGACACCUAGAGCUGAGAAAAUGAUUCAAAAUGAUACAAUGUCUGGCAAUAAUUUUUAACUGUUAGUAAUACAUUAGGAAGUGGGUGAAGUUAUUCAAUACAUCAUUUGAAACUCAAUCUUGUACUGAUUGGUUUAGGAAGACACAUGAGUCACAUAGUGUAUUUCACUUCCUUGCCUGGAUGGGAAUGAUUUCUAAGAAUCAGAUUUUGGAGAAAAUACUUUUGGAAAAAAGAUAAAAAGAACAAACAAACAAAAAAAUUGCUCUAUGUUCAGUAGCAUUUACUGAACAUAAACUCCUAACACCCGUUCACAAUUUUCUUUGACUAUGCUUGCUAGAAUAUUUCUAAAAGCAGAACAAAGGGGAUGUGAAUUCAGCUGGCAUCAUUUCACUCAAACACAAGCAUUCACUGAUAAUCUUUCCAUGAGAUAAAUCUCGUCUCUCAUACAUCAAGAACCGUAAAAUUGACACAGCUCAGUACAAUAUAGGAAAAAACAUUAUCUUAGUGAGGUCCUGCUAUCCAGGAAGACGUCAUUAUUCAAGAAGCCAGAAGUGGUGAAGUUUGAACUAAAGUUAUUUUUUAGUUCAGUCUCCACAAAGCGGCUGUGGUGGGCUGAUCUUGGCUGGCCACCAGUUUACUCAUUCCUCCUCCUCCUCAUUAGGGAAACAAGGAGAAACUAUCAUGGAAAAGCUUGUGGGUUGAAACAGGGAGAUCACCUACCAUGGGCAAAAUAGACUUGGUUUGGAGAAAAUUAAUGUAAUUUAUUGCCAAUUAAAAAUACUAUUACCACAAAAGUUGGUCAGAGAAACUCCCUAAGACUCAAUAUAGAGUUUCAGAAAGCAGCAUUCUUCAUUGCAGCUCUGGGCGCACAUGCAAAUUGCACCCAUUGCUUACCGGCAGCAGCUCUAUAUUUAGCAUACUCAUGCAUAUUUACAGCUUUCCCAGGAAGUUACUUACAUAUUCAUGACAUUCCCGGGAACUAAUUAUAAUAUUUGCAUCCUAAUUACACAUGCGCUUUCUUGCUGAGUGGGGGUCUCUGCUGGUCUCUGAUAGUCUUCCUCACUGUGUUUACUGAAUGACCUCAGUGCCUGCGCACGCUCACAAGGUCCUAGUGCUGAGUUAGCAGCUGGUAGGUCCUGGCAUCUGUUCUAUUCCACACUGGAUGCCACUCUACUCUCUUAAAGGCUGGCAUCCUUGGUCUGAUUUAUUGUCUCCUUAGUUGCUAUCAGUCCCAUAAUGUUCCUUCUCUUGUCAGCCCAACAUUUCUUUCUCUCUACGUGUUAGCAAGUUAGAACAGUUUGCUCUAUUCUACUAUGGCACUUUAAAGUCACACCUCUAUUGUUAGUUUAAACCUGUAAUUUGAGUCUACAUUUUCCCCUUUGAGACACAGGAUAUAUGUAUAUAUCCUGAUAUAUGUAUACAUAUAUAUGUAUAUAUACAUAUAUCCUGUAGAUCUCAUUCUAUACCCUUUACCCAUAUUUGAUUCUAAUACACCAUUGUGACCAACAACUACAAAAUUAAAUCAUCAUACAUGCUAGGAUACAGACACAAAUUACUGAUGAUCAUUACAAACGAGGUUUUUUUUAACCAUAUUCAAUUUGGUAGCCAAGAAGUAAGUCCAUGCCAUAAUUCUUCAAAUCCCCAGGAAGUAUCACCUUCAGCAGCCUGAUAGAAGACCUUAGCUUGCUUCCAGAUAUCUGCCAGAUCUGUGGAUAUCCUGCCACUCUGGUCUAUGUAUGUGCAGCAGCUUGUGUUUAUAACUGUACAAACACCUCCUUGGGAAGAUAGUAGCUGAUCAAGCGCCACACGGUUUUGCAGUGUCAUCUGAGAUAGGCUGGAUACCUCAAUCUGUAAUGCCUGUAUAGCAUCUAUAAUGUUGUCUUUGAUGUUUCAGUUCCUGCUGCUGUAUUUAUGAUCAUCUUUUCUAAUUCACUCACCCCCAACCAAGGGAGAAACCAUCUCACAAAACUGUGACAUUUUGUAGGACAAUCAACAAUGGCAUUACGGAAUAUCUUGGUCCUUUUUAGGAAGGUUCUUAUCCGUCCUUUUUCUGGUUGGAGAGGUUUGAUUAUUGUAAUAUCCAUGAGUACAACUCUCAGUGUACAUGUUCAGUCCAUCCUGGGGGAAGGGCUUUUCUAGCAAUAUUAUGACACAACCAAUACCACCCUUUCCCUUCUGGAGCAUUCCAAUAGCCUGUCUGAGGUUCUUUGAUUUGAAGUUACAUUGUCCAGAUACAGUUUGGGUAAUGUCCUACCACGAUAUCA